CUCACACGUGCUAGGCAAGUGCUCUACCACUGAGCUACAGCCCUAGCCCUAUUUUUUUUUUAUAUUAAACCCUAGUUGAUAAGAAGAAAAUGCCAGCUAAUAAGUGCAGAAGAAAAGAUAGAAUUGGAGGGGGGAAAAAGCAUUUUGUGAACUCCAAUAGAAUUAUUGAUUCUUGCAAAAAUUAUUAGUGUUUUAAAAAAAAUAGGUGAGGCUGGGCCUGGUGGUGCAUGUCUGGAAUACCAGCUAUUCAGGAUGCUGAGGCAGGAGGGUUGCCAGUUCAAAAGCAAUCUGAGCAAUUUAGCAAGACCCUGACUCAAAAUUUGAAAAAAAGGGAUGGAAUGGAGCUUAGUGGUAUAGUGCUUGCCUAGCAUGUGCAAGGUGCUGAGUUCAAUCCCUAAUACAGGGGAAAAAAAAAAAAAAGUUGAAACUGCUGAGAGACUUAAGGGGCUUAACAAUUCAAUGCACAGUUUUGGAUUCCCUAUUGGUAUAAAUAAAUUACUAUAGAAGAUAUUUUGGAGUCAAUUAGAAACAUUGAAAUAUGGACAGGGGAUUAGAUUAGGUGAAGAUUUACUGAGCUAGAACAAUCAAAUUCAUUAACAAGGGGCUGGGGUUGUGGCUCAGUGGUAGAGUACUCGCCUAGCAUGCACGGGCACUGGGUUGGAUUCUCAGCACCACAUAAAUGUAAAAUGGGGAUAGUGGGUCCACCUAAAACUAAAAAUAAAUAAAUAGAAAUAAUUAACAAGCAAGUUCCAAAUCCAUAUUUAUAGGAUAAUCACAUUUUGUUUUUAAAAUGUCUACCCGGGCACAGUGGUGCAUGCCUGUAAUCCCAGUGGCUCAGGAGGCUGAGACAGGAGCAUCGGGAGUUCAAAGCCAGCCUCAGCAAAGGCAAGGUUCUAAGCAACUCAGUGAGACCCUGUCUCUAAAUAAAAUACAAAAAAGGACUGGGAAUGUGGCUCAGUGGUUGAGUGCCCCUGAGUUCAAUGCCCAGUACCAAAAAAUAAAAUAAAAUGUCUAUUUAUUUGUGAAGAAAAAAAUCUAAAAGGAUUUUCACUAAGAUGUUAUCAGUGAUAUAAGUGAUGAGAAUAUGUUUUUUGUUACC
rnacentral:lncRNA from 1 species